UACGAAGGGGGCUAGCGUUACUCGGAAUUACUGGGGCGUAAAGGGCGCGUAGGCGGCGCUCCAAGUUAGGCGUGAAAGUCCUGGGCUCAACCUGGGAACUGCGCUUAAGACUGGAGUGCUUGAGGAUGGAAGAGGGUCGUGGAAUUCCCAGUGUAGAGGUGAAAUUCGUAGAUAUUGGGAAGAACACCGGUGGCGAAGGCGGCGACCUGGUCCAUUACUGACGCUGAGGCGCGACAGCGGUGGGGAGCAAACAGG
rnacentral:rRNA from 1 species